UGAGGAAUAUUGGUCAAUGGGCGAGAGCCUGAACCAGCCAAGUAGCGUGCAGGAUGACGGCCCUAUGGGUUGUAAACUGCUUUUAUGUGGGGAUAAAGUGAGCUACGUGUAGUUUAUUGCAGGUACCACAUGAAUAAGGACCGGCUAAUUCCGUGCCAGCAGCCGCGGUAAUACGGAAGGUCCAGGCGUUAUCCGGAUUUAUUGGGUUUAAAGGGAGCGUAGGCCGUGGAUUAAGCGUGUUGUGAAAUGUAGACGCUCAACGUCUGAAUUGCAGCGCGAACUGGUUCACUUGAGUAUGCACAACGUAGGCGGAAUUCGUCGUGUAGCGGUGAAAUGCUUAGAUAUGACGAAGAACUCCGAUUGCGAAGGCAGCUUACGGGAGCACAACUGACGCUGAAGCUCGAAGGUGCGGGUAUCAAACAGGAUUAGAUACCCUGGUAGUCCGCACAGUAAACGAUGGGUGCCCGUUGUUAGUUCACUUAAGAAUUAGCGACCAAGCGAAAGCAUUAAGCAUCCCACCUGGGGAGUACGCCGGCGGU
rnacentral:rRNA from 1 species